rnacentral:misc_RNA from 1 species
AAGUCGUAACAAGGUAUCCGUAGGUGAACCUGCGGAUGGAUCAUUAAUUGAUUUUAAUAAUCUAUAUUUUUAUCACUUGUGCAUUGUACUUGUCAAUACUUAAUAGUGUGACAAUGUCAUUUAUUUUUAUGUUAUUUAAACUGAUUAAAUUUGUUUAAUUGAAAACAACUUUUAGCAACGGAUCUCUAGGCUCUC